rnacentral:rRNA from 1 species
UACGGAGGUGGCAAGCGUUGCUCGGAAUCACUGGGCGUAGAGGGCGCGUAGGCGGGGAGGUAAGUCGGGGGUGAAAUCCCUCGGCCCAACCGAGGAACUGCGCCCGAGACUGCUUCUCUUGAGUCCCGGAGAGGAAGAUGGAAUUCCCGGUGUAGCGGUGAAAUGUGUAGAGAUCGGGAGGAACACCGGUGGCGAAGGCGGUCUUCUGGACGGUGACUGACGCUGAGGCGCGAAAGCGUGGGGAGCAAACGGG